AAGAUCCUAAGCUAUGUACCAAAUGGUCAUAUACCACAAGUGGAUAUUGAUCAUUGAUUAGAAAGCUUGAUCCUGUGCCUUUCAAGCUCUCUUCUCACUACUUAUGUUGGUUGAAAGGGCUAAAUUCAUUGCUACUCUCUGUAGUUUGUUCUUUUGAGCUUCCUAAGCCAAGCACGAGUUCAUUGUUUACAUCAUAAGAACUUGAUCAAAGUGGACAAAAAUUUCAACCAAUUUGCAAACUUUUACUCAGUUAUAGUUUAAUUCAGUCAUGCCUGAUCAUGCCAAUGGUUGGUAUGGUGGAAGAUGCUAUAGCUCUAUGUAUUAGCUUAGGUCCAAGGAUUUAAGGUGUGAUUUUGACAUAACCAUCAUGUCCUGAGAUGCAUGAAGCUGUUCUAAAUCAUGAUAUCUUAAAGAUCGAAUAUUUAUUGAGGUCAUGCAUUUUUUUCUGCUUUCUACUAUAUGUUGAUUUUUUAUUUAAGGCCUCAAUAUUAUCUCUCUUUAUCAAAAUACCCAUUUAUCCUUGCAUAUAUUUAAAU
rnacentral:misc_RNA from 1 species